rnacentral:rRNA from 1 species
UACGUAGGGUGCGAGCGUUGUCCGGAAUUAUUGGGCGUAAAGAGCUCGUAGGCGGCCUGUCGCGUCGGAUGUGAAAGCCCGGGGCUCAACCCCGGGUCUGCAUUCGAUACGGGCAGGCUGGAGUGUGGUAGGGGAGUCUGGAAUUCCUGGUGUAGCGGUGAAAUGCGCAGAUAUCAGGAGGAACACCGGUGGCGAAGGCGGGACUCUGGGCCGAUACUGACGCUGAGGAGCGAAAGCGUGGGGAGCAAACAGG